rnacentral:misc_RNA from 1 species
GGAUCAUCAUCGAGAUCCAAAACCACUAUACUUAUAGCACCAUCUGACGAUCAUCAUCAUCAUCAUCAGCUACCACCAGUACCACCUCAACUGAGUAGAUAUGAGUCUCAGAAACGUCGCGAUUGGAAUACUUUUGGACAAUACUUGAAAUCAAAGGCCACCUGUUCCUUUAUCCCAGUGUAACUAUAACCACGUGCUAGAGUUUCUC